UACGUAGGGCGCAAGCGUUGUCCGGAAUUAUUGGGCGUAAAGAGCUCGUAGGCGGUUUGUCGCGUCUGCUGUGAAAUCCUCAGGCUCAACUUGGGGCGUGCAGUGGGUACGGGCAGACUAGAGUGCGGUAGGGGAGACUGGAAUUCCUGGUGUAGCGGUGGAAUGCGCAGAUAUCAGGAGGAACACCGGUGGCGAAGGCGGGUCUCUGGGCCGAUAUUGACGCUGGAGGAGCGAAAGCGUGGGGAGCAAACAGG
rnacentral:rRNA from 1 species